UAUCAGGUCUUUAUUUUUAGUUAAAGAGCAUAGAAUUCAAUGCCUUUCCUCCCACGAGCCUAUUUACAUACCUGCUGUGCUACCUAUUUGCCUUCACCUGCUUCCCAAUUAAUACCCCAUUAAGCUGCUCCACCUGCAGUGGCUUUUACCUUCGCCACAGCCUUGAAACCAUCACUCAUCUGCUUCAGCUCAUUGUUUCUUUUGGGAAGAUAAACGAAAGCUCCACGAACAACAAUGGCAGUGCUUUGCACAUACAGGAUGUGUGUUCAUAAAAGACAGUAGCCAGAAGCUGUGGGCACCUCUGGUCAAGAAAAUCACUAGUUGGCCAAAAAUUCUAGAGUAGUGAAGCUGGUAUUGUGGAAGAUCAGAGGGGAAGACAUGCCCAUCUUAAUUAUUCAGAACUGCAGAGGAAAUCCAGCUACAUCUUCAUGAUGCUGGGCACCAAGCCACCUUUCCCUGGGGGUGCUCUCCACCUGGCUCCUGUCCCCAGGAUGCUGUGAGCCCGUGCAGGCAGGAUUCUCAGUGGAUAGUUCAUGCUGGAUAAUGACUCAGGGAGAGACGCCAAGGAAAUGUCUGUGUGUGUCGAGGGGGUAUAUUCCAAAAGGAGUGACGGACAUAUGUGAUAUUUCACUGCAGGUCUCAGGAGAUACAGAGAACAUGCCUGGUGCUUGCAUCCGGAGGUCUCCUGGGGACUUGCCUGGGGCAGAUCUGCAGAAAUGGCUUGCACAGAGCUGUCUGGCCCCGGGGGAAGGAGGGCAUCUGUUGGAUCCUCUGGCAGCUCUCAGUCACCAAAGCAAAGGUCAAGCACAUCUGUGAGACCACUGGAAACUUCAGGGUCAUCCUGCAUCACUGCAUCUAAAAAGGCAUGUGGAGAGGCAUCCUUUCUUCCAAAAGAGGCCAGCUCGUGCCUCUACUGCCAACUCCCCACCGCAAGGGCUACCUGUUUUAUCAAGACAAAAGAAAUCGCUCGCACCAAGCGUGACUCUGUCACCACAUGUCACUUCACAUCAGCUGGUACAUGUCAAAGAAUGACACAGAAAGCUGCCACCUGCCAUCCUCUCGCAGAGCACAUCAAACUUCUUUUUGUAAAAUACUUCAACAGCAGCCAAGAGAAAAUUUCCUUUAUGA